rnacentral:rRNA from 1 species
UAGGGAAUCUUCCGCAAUGGGCGAAAGCUUGACGGAGCAACGCCGCGUGAGUGAUGAAGGUCUUCGGAUCGUAAAACUCUGUUAUUAGGGAAGAACAAAUGUGUAAGUAACUAUGCACGUCUUGACGGUACCUAAUCAGAAAGCCACGGCUAACUACGUGCCAGCAGCCGCGGUAAUACGUAGGUGGCAAGCGUUAUCCGGAAUUAUUGGGCGUAAAGCGCGCGUAGGCGGUUUUUUAAGUCUGAUGUGAAAGCCCACGGCUCAUCCGUGGAGGGUCAUUGGAAACUGGAAAACUUGAGUGCAGAAGAGGAAAGUGGAAUUCCAUGUGUAGCGGUGAAAUGCGCAGAGAUAUGGAGGAACACCAGUGGCGAAGGCGACUUUCUGGUCUGUAACUGACGCUGAUGUGCGAAAGCGUGGGGAUCAAACAGG